rnacentral:rRNA from 1 species
AUUGAACGCUGGCGGCAUGCCUUACACAUGCAAGUCGAACGGCAGCACGGGUGCUUGCACCUGGUGGCGAGUGGCGAACGGGUGAGUAAUACAUCGGAACGUACCUUAUCGUGGGGGAUAACGCAGCGAAAGCUGCGCUAAUACCGCAUACGCCCUGAGGGGGAAAGCGGGGGAUCGCAAGACCUCGCGCGAUUAGAGCGGCCGAUGCCUGAUUAGCUAGUUGGUGGGGUAAAAGCCCACCAAGGCGACGAUCAGUAGCUGGUCUGAGAGGACGAUCAGCCACUCUGGGACUGAGACACGGCCCAGACUCCUACGGGAGGCAGCAGUGGGGAAUUGUGGACAAUGGGGGCAACCCUGAUCCAGCAAUGCCGCGUGGGUGAAGGAGGCCUUCGGGUUGUAAAGCUCUUUUGUCAGGGAAGAAACACCGGCUCUAACACAGUCCGGGAAUGACGGUACCUGAAGAAUAAGCACCGGCUAACUACGUGCAAGCCGCCGCCGUAA